rnacentral:rRNA from 1 species
UACGGGGGGGCAAGCGUUGUUCGGAAUUACUGGGCGUAAAAGGGCUCGUAGGCGGCCUAACUAAGUCGGACGUGAAAUCCCCAGGCUCAACCUGGGAACUGCGUCCGAUACUGGAUGGCUUGAAUUCGGGAGAGGGAUGCAGAAGUUCCAGGUGAUUAGGCGGUGGAAAUGACGUAGAUAUCAGGAGGAACACCGAUGGCGAAGGCAGCUGCCUGGCCUAGAACUGACGCUGGAGGUGCGGAAAGCCGUGGGGGAGCGAACAGG